CUUUCCACAGCGGCGCGGAUACGGCCGUGGCUGCGGAAGCGCCGGUGCACGUGGCGCAGGUAGCGAGCCCACUGAAAGGCCCGGCGCACGGUCUCGGGGCCCCAAGUGCUCACGUGGUUAGUGAGAGACACGGACAGAACUUCAGAAAACCGCUCCAGCUGCUGCAGGAGAGGCUCCAUGGGGCCCGCGAAGGCCUGACUUCCGCGUUCACCUUGGAAACGAAGACGCUCUGCGUGCCGAUUGGAACAGCCAGAGAAAGAUCCGCCCUUCUGCAACUUUAUUGAUUGCAAAUAUUUAGAAACCAAGUCGGGUGUGGCGGCGCAGCCUGUAAUCCCAGCACUCAGGAGGCUGAGGCAGGAAGAUUGCUGAGAGUUCAAGACCAGCCUGGUCUACAUAGUGAGUUCCAGGUCAUUCUCAACUACAUAGUGAGACCCUGUCUCAAAAAAAAAAAAAAAAAAAAUUUAGAAACCACUCAAAUACUUGAAUUAAUCCAACUGGAAAAAGUUUUAUAUUUUUCCACCACUUAGACAUGUUUUUGUUUUGAAAAAAAAUGUGUAUCAAAGGAACAAUAAUCAAAUUCAUAUUGAUCAAAGUAUUUUGAAGCUGUACCUUAAUACACAAAUUCCACACACAU
rnacentral:lncRNA from 1 species